rnacentral:rRNA from 1 species
ACGGAAGGCAGCAGCUAAGAAUAUUCCGCAAUGGACGAAAGUCUGACGGAGCGACGCCGCGUGGAUGAUGAAGGUCGGAAGAUUGUAAAAUCCUUUUGAGUGUGAAGAAUAAGUGCAUCAGGGAAUGGGAGCAUGGUGACGGUAGCACUUGAAUAAGCAACGGCUAAUUACGUGCCAGCAGCCGCGGUAACACGUAAGUUGCGAGCGUUGUUCGGAAUUAUUGGGCGUAAAGGGCAUGUAGGCGGUUCUGCAAGCUUGGUGUGAAAUCCCGGAGCUUAACUCCGGAACUGCAUUGAGAACUGCAGGACUAGAAUUACUGAAGGGCAACUGGAAUUCCAAGUGUAGGGGUGAAAUCUGUAGAUAUUUGGAAGAACACCAAUGGCGAAGGCAAGUUGCUGGCAGAUGAUUGACGCUGAGGUGCGAAGGUGCGGGGAGCAAACAGGAUUAGAUACCCUGGUA